GGUCCUGACUAGCCCAACUGGCAGAGCAUGGCAUUAACGUUGCCGUUGGGUAGGGUAGGUUGGGUUGGGUUGGGUUCGAUUCCCACUGGGACCA